rnacentral:rRNA from 1 species
AUGGAGGCGAUGAUGAAGGAAUUAGGUCUGAAGGAGGAUGACCUAGAAGACAUGGUGAUCGAGGCGGAUGAGCUACCGGAGGAGGCCACCAGAUGGAUGGCGCUGGCCCGUGUCCACACAGAUAAGCCCUAUAGCCAAUACUGGUUCUUCCGUAAUAUGCGUGUGGCGUGGGAUCUAGCGCAAGAGGUGAAAUUCCGCCCGCUAGAAGAGAACCUCUACACCCUCCAGUUCUCGUGCCUCGGCGACUGGGAACAUGUGAUGGAGGAGGGGCCUUGGACUUUCAAGGGAAAAAUGGUGGUAAUCACACCGUAUGAUGGCUUUACAAAACCAUCUACGAUUGAGCUGAACAAAGUGGACAUAUGGAUCCAAAUCCAUGACUUGCCUGAGGGCUACUUCUGCAAGAUAAAGUCGAUGUCUUCUACGGUGGGCGAAUACAUCUAUGCCGAGCCAAAAUCCCAAGACUUUGAAGGCAACUUUUUCAGAGUCCGUAUUAAGAUCAAUGUCACUAAGCCGCCGAAGAACGAUGUGUCGCUUGUCAUCAAGAGGUAG